rnacentral:misc_RNA from 1 species
GCCAAGAAACCGAUGAGGGAGGUGGUUUCAAUAUUUCGGGGUUUCUGAUGGCCAUCGUCAUCGCCUUGGUCCUGUUAAUGGUCUGCUACCAGCCGCGCCGCCGGAGAGUUUACAGGGUGCAUUGCCACUGAUUCCGGUAACCUAUCAACUUGAUCGGAAUAAUCUCUGGGUUUUGUUUCUGUUUCGUUUUCUGUUUUGUACCCGUCAGUGAUCUGUAUGUUCUGUAG